CUGGCGGCGUGCCUAAUACAUGCAAGUCGAGCGAGCUGAAUUCAAAGAUUCCUUCGGGAUGAUUUGUUGGACGCUAGCGGCGGAUGGGUGAGUAACACGUGGGCAAUCUGCCCUAAAGACUGGGAUACCACUUGGAAACAGGUGCUAAUACCGGAUAACAACAUGAAUCGCAUGAUUCAAGUUUGAAAGGCGGCGUAAGCUGUCACUUUAGGAUGAGCCCGCGGCGCAUUAGCUAGUUGGUGGGGUAAAGGCCUACCAAGGCAAUGAUGCGUAGCCGAGUUGAGAGACUGAUCGGCCACAUUGGGACUGAGACACGGCCCAAACUCCUACGGGAGGCAGCAGUAGGGAAUCUUCCACAAUGGACGCAAGUCUGAUGGAGCAACGCCGCGUGAGUGAAGAAGGUUUUCGGAUCGUAAAGCUCUGUUGUUGGUGAAGAAGGAUAGAGGCAGUAACUGGUCUUUAUUUGACGGUAAUCAACCAGAAAGUCACGGCUAACUACGUGCCAGCAGCCGCGGUAAUACGUAGGUGGCAAGCGUUGUCCGGAUUUAUUGGGCGUAAAGCGAGCGCAGGCGGAAUGAUAAGUCUGAUGUGAAAGCCCACGGCUCAACCGUGGAACUGCAUCGGAAACUGUCAUUCUUGAGUGCAGAAGAGGAGAGUGGAAUUCCAUGUGUAGCGGUGGAAUGCGUAGAUAUAUGGAAGAACACCAGUGGCGAAGGCGGCUCUCUGGUCUGCAACUGACGCUGAGCUC
rnacentral:rRNA from 1 species